UGGUAUGUGUGCUGUACACAGUUAGUGCUC
rnacentral:piRNA from 1 species